GAUGAACGCUGGCGGCGUGCCUAAUACAUGCAAGUCGAGCGAACGGACGAGAAGCUUGCUUCUCUGAUGUUAGCGGCGGACGGGUGAGUAACACGUGGAUAACCUACCUAUAAGACUGGGAUAACUUCGGGAAACCGUAGCUAAUACGGAUAAUAUUUUGAAACGCAUGGUUCAAAAGUGAAAGACGGUCUUGCUUUCACCUAUAGAUGGAUCCGCGCUGCAUUAGCUAGUUGGUAAGGUAACGGCUUACCAAGGCAACGAUGCAUAGCCGACCUGAGAGGGUGAUCGGCCACACUGGAACUGAGACACGGUCCAGACUCCUACGGGAGGCAGCAGUAGGGAAUCUUCCGCAAUGGGCGAAAGCCUGACGGAGCAACGCCGCGUGAGUGAUGAAGGUCUUCGGAUCGUAAAACUCUGUUAUUAGGGAAGAACAUAUGUGUAAGUAACUGUGCACAUCUUGACGGUACCUAAUCAGAAAGCCACGGCUAACUACGUG
rnacentral:rRNA from 1 species